AAACUUCUCUUUUAGUUUACAAUCUUUAUCUUUCAUAAUAUUGGGCAAUAUACCAUGUGUACAGUGGUAUUCAGAGCUGUUUCACUUGUGUGCCCGUUUUUAUUGGUUCAUUCAUUGAAGUCAACGUACAUUUAUUUAUAAUGCAUUCUGUAUAUCACAAGUCUUUUCUGCCUUUUGUGUCUGUGAUGAUAGGUAACAGUUAAUCUGUUCCAGAUGCAGCACUUUCAGGCUGCCUCCCUUGCAAACAGUUUAGUCUUUCACUGUGAUAGCGCCAAACUUUAUGAUCCAGGCCAAGAGUACAGUGAAUUUGUGAAGGCUACAAAGUCAACUGAAGAAGAAAAAGUUGAUGGGUAAGAAUUAAUAUCUAGAUGAAUUUCUAGAAAUAAAACAUUUACUAAGUUCCUAUGUGGUAUAAAGAGGUAUAUUUUCUAAUAUUGAUAGAAUUAACUUUAAAAAUUUCUGAAAAAUUUUAUUUGUAUUAUUUUGUGGUUUCUUAGUAAGUCUCACUUGAGAGUAAAGCUUUCCAUUUUGAUACUGACCUCACUCUGUGAGACUUAAAAAUCCUUUGGGAACGGCAAAUGACAAUCAUACACAUUUUGAAUGUCCACAAAAUUUAACCUAUAUUUUCCACUGAGAUGAUACUACAAAAGUUUAAUCAUAACAUGCAUUACUGACUGUUGCUAUUUCUAUCAAUGUUUCAACUGUGAAAAUAAAUUUUUAUCCAUAUCUCCUUAAAAAAGCUGAACCAUGUAACAGUUUGUUCAUUGUAUUUAGUUAAUUAUUCUACAUAUAUUAAAUCAACAAAUUUUUCUGACUAUAGUACAAAGUAGAUUUAUUGUUAGUGCUGAGCUUUCUUUGCUUUUUCUUAGGAAUGUAAAUAAACCAUUAACAAAUAGUUCCCAGAUGUCCAGAUGUGGCCCUUCUCACUCUUUAAAGGAUGUUGUGUGCCUUCCUGACAGUUGUAAUAAAAUUGAAGAGGACAUAUUGAGUUUCAAUCCAGACUUUGUAUUUGAACAAGAUCUCCCAGGUGAUUCACUUGAAGGUUAAUUUUUUUCAAACACUGGUUAUAAUCACUCUAACAAUGGAGAUCUAACAGGUGUCUUUCUUUCUUUCUUUCUCUCUCUCUUUUUUAAAAAAUAUUUAUUGUUCAUUUGUAGUUGGACACAAUAGCUUUAUUUUAUUUAUUUUUAUGUGGUGCUGAGGAUCAAACCCAGUUUCUCAUGCGUGCUAGGAGAGUGCUCUAACACUGAGCUACAACCGUAUCCCCUAACAGGGGUUUUUCACUCUGAAGAGAAUACAGGUUUAUGAAAGAGCAAAUUGUUCAUUGGUCAUUAAAUGAACUGGAGCUCUAGAACCAGAAAAUCAGGCUUUAUAAUGUAACUCUGUGAGACCUAGUCAUGAUUGUAACCACCAUGCCUGCCUUAAAGUCCAUAAUUGGUCAUUGUUAAACAAAUCUGAAUUGUCUCAUUUUAUGUAAUGUCAGUAUUUUACCUUAUGAAAUCUACCUCUUAGCUAAGUUUUGACUUUAAAUAUUUUUUUCUUAAAGGUGGUUCAUUUUUAAAAAUAUUUUUUUAGUUGUUGAUAGAUCUUUAUUUUAUUUAUACGCGGUGCUGAGAAUUGAACCCAGUGCCUCCCACAUGCCAGGCAAGUGCACUACCACUGAGCCCCAACCCCAGCCCAAAGAUGGUUCUUUUUAGUAUAUAUGACAGCAGAAUGCAUUUUGAUUCAUUGUACACAAUUGCAGCACAACUUUUCAUUUCUCUGGUUGUAUACUAUGUAGUGUUGCACCAUAUGUGCAGUCAUACAUGUACCUAGGGUAAUGAUGUCCAUCUCGUUCCAUCAUUUUUCCUGUCCCCAUGCCCCUUCCCCAUCACCCUCCCCUUGGCCCAAUGAAAGUUCCUCCAUUUUUCCCAUCUGUCCCCCACCCCUGUCCAUCUCCAUGGAUCAGCAUCCACUUAUCAGAGAGAAUAUUUCGCCUUUGGAUUUUUGGGAUUGGCUUACUUUGCUUAGCAUGAUAUUCUCCAUCUCCAUCCAUUUAUACCUGCAAAUGCCAUAAUUUUAUUCUAUUUUAAUGCCGAGUAAUAUUCCAUUGUGUACAUAUACCACAGUUUCUUUAUCCAUUCAUCUGUUGAAGGGCAUCUGUGGUGCUGGGGAUAUAGGUCAGUUGGUAGAGUGGUUGCCUCACAUGCAUAAGAUCUUCUUUCAUAAGAUCAUGGACAUUUGGGAUGUUUAGUGACUUAUAGUACUGGAGGGAGCAGUGAAUCUGGAUCCUUGGAUUCAGAAUCUAUAAGUCCAGGUACAUAAAUAUUUAAGUCUAGCAGUAAAAUUCAAUGAAAUUAUUAAAAUAAUCACUUGGGGAAUAUUUAUAACUAACUUAUUUUUAUAAUGAAGUGUCUUAAAUAUAGAUGAGAAUAUAUAUAUAUAUAUAUAUAUAUAUAUAUAUAUAUACAGAUUAAAGAAAGAGAAUGAAACAGACCCUCAAUAAAAAUAUUAGGACAUUAGAAGCACCUGGGUACUCCUUCUUGAUUACACUGCCUUAGCUCCCACCAGCAUAAACCAUUAUCCUGACUAUUUUAAAAUCAUUCUGUAGAUAUUUCAAAUGUUUUUAAUACCUAUAUGUAGUAGAGUUUUGACCUCUUCUGGAUAUUGUUCAAAUUCAAUCAUACUAUUUUGUGACUUAAUUCAUGCAUGUUAUGUUAAUGUGAAUAGUUGGCCUUAUUUUUACUACUGUAUUCUAGUCCAUGAACUUGAAUAUCAUGAUUGAUCUUUUGAAUUGUUUUGCAGUAAUUGCUAUAAUAAACAAUUCCAUUAUGCCAAUCCUUGA
rnacentral:lncRNA from 1 species